CAUACACAGAGGAAUGUCCUUUCUUUGCCUAAAGAAGUGACCGCACAACAAAAACGACAAGAAACGAAAAGGCAGCAUCUGAAAUAGAUGGAUUAGAGCACAACAGUAUAUUGGAUCACAUCAACCCAUCAGAAGGCAUAAAGACAUUAGAUAGCCAUAGAGACAGAGGGCAUUGUGGCCUCGAACCUACACAGACUGAAAACCGCUUCAGUUUCACCACAAACAUGAGUGUACGUUAUGGCUCCUUCAGCUCUGAGUUACCAGAUGGCGACACAAUACAGACAACCUCCAUCUCCCCAAGACGCUCCUACAUUGCAGUUGCUGUGCUCUGCUAUAUUAAUCUCCUCAACUAUAUGGACCGUUAUACCAUAGCAGGUGUGCUGCUUAGCAUCCAGAAGUACUUUGGAAUCAGUGACAGCACAUCUGGCCUCCUGCAGACAGUUUUUAUCUGUAGCUUUAUGUUCUUGGCGCCAGUUUUUGGUUACCUUGGAGACCGCUAUGACAGGAAGCUAAUCAUGAUUGCUGGGUUAUUUGUGUGGAUUGUCACGACCCUGGGCAGCUCUUUCGUCAAACAGUCGCACUUCUGGGUUUUGGUCCUGACAAGGGCACUGGUUGGUACAGGAGAAGCCAGUUACUCCACCAUAGCUCCUACAAUCAUUGGUGACUUGUUUACUGGCACCCAGAGAACUCUCAUGAUAUCCUUCUUCUAUAUUUUCAUACCUGUUGGAAGUGGUCUUGGAUAUAUAUUGGGGGCAACAAUAGCUAAUGCAACAGGUGACUGGAGAUGGGCCCUGAGGGUAAAUCCUGCUCUGGGAGUGCUGGGUCUACUGCUUCUGGUGUUUCUUAUUCCUAAUCCUCCUCGCGGAGCCUCAGACAGCCACGGAGCAGCCAUGGAAAGAACCUCCUACCUUGAGGACAUCAAGUACCUCCUGAAGAAUCGGAGUUUUGUCUGGUCAUCUUUGGGUGUGACUGCCAUGGCUUUUGUGACAGGGGCCCUGGCCUUCUGGACGCCCACCUUCCUGUCCCGUGCCCAGGUUACACAGGGUCUCAGGCCACCUUGUGAGGUUGAGCCCUGUAACCCUAUAGACAGUUACAUCUUUGGGGCAAUCACAGUGGUGACGGGGAUUGUGGGAGUGUUUCUGGGUACCUUCAUAUCAAAGAAGCUGAGAGACAGAGUACCCAAUGCAGACCCUCUCAUAUGUGCUGUGGGCAUGCUAAGUUCCUCCCCCUGCUUUUUCAUCGCCAUCAUACUAGCAUCCACCAGUAUCCCAGCCACAUAUACAUUCAUUGCUAUUGGAGAGACUCUGCUGUCCCUCAACUGGGCUAUUCUGGCUGACAUCCUGCUGUAUGUUGUCGUGCCAACUAGAAGAGCCACAGCUGAAGCCUUACAGAUUAUGGUCUGUCAUCUCCUCGGAGAUGCAGGAAGUCCAUACCUUAUUGGUGCGAUCUCAGAUGCCCUACGCAAGUAUAAUCCAGAUUCUCCUAGCUGGGACUUCCGCAGACUGGAAUAUAGCGUUCUUCUCUGCCCCUUCGCUGGGGUUUUGGGUGGCCUGUUUUUCCUAAUGACCUCUCUCUAUAUAAAAGAGGACCAGAAAGCAGCAGAACUGCUCAUGUCAGGGCAUGCUAAUGGGCAGCCGGCAACAUCCACAGUGUCAGUGUGACCUUAUAAAUACCAACCAAAACAGACAUGCAUGUUCACCACCAGACCUUGGCUGUGUGGAAGCCUCAGGGGAACAAAGGGAGAGAACAGCCCCUUCUGCAUUUCAACUGAAACCUUGAAAUACUACAUUUGAAAUCAGAAGUUCACAUACACCUUAGCCAAAUAAAUUUAAACUCAGUUUUUCACAAUUCCUGACAUUUAUUCAUAGAUAACCUUACUGUCUUAGGUCAGUUAGGAUCACUACUUUAUUUUAAGAAUAUGAAAUGUCAGAAUAAUAGUAGAGAGAAUGAUUUAUUUAAGUUUUUAUUUCUUUCAUCACAUUCCCAGUGGGUCAGAAGUUUACAUACACUUUGUUAGUAUUUUGCCUUUAAAUUGUUUAAUUUAGGUAAAACUUUUUGGCUAGCCUUCCACAAGCUUCUCACAAUAAGUUGCUUUCCUCCAGACAGAACUGAUUUCAGAACUAAGUCAGGUUUGUAGGCCUCCUUUCUCGCACAUGCUUUUUCAAUUCUGCCUGCAAAGUUUCUAUCAGAUUGAGGUCAGGGCUUUGUGAUGGCCACUCCAAUACCUUGACUUUGUUGUCCUUAAGCCAUUUUGCCACAACUUGGGGUCAUUGUCCAUUUGGAAGACCCAUUUGCGAUCAAGCUUUAACUUCCAGGCUUAUGUCUUGAGAUGUUGCUUUAAUAUAUCCACAUAUUUUUCCUUCCUCAUGAUGUCAUCUAUUUUGUGAAGUGCACCAGUCCCUCCUGCAACAAAGCACCCCCACAACAUGAUGCUGCCACCCACAUGCUUCACAGUUAGGAUGGUGUUCUUUGGCUUGCAAGCCUCACCCUUUUUCCUCCAAACAUAACAAGGGUAAUUAUGGCCAAACAGUUACAUUUUUUUUUUUCAUUAGACCAGAGGACAUUUCUCCAAAAAGUAAGAUCUUUGUCCUCAUGUGCACUUGCAAACUGUAGUCUGACGUUUUUAUGCCGGUUUUGGAGCAGUGGCUACUUCCUUGCUGAGUAGCCUUUCAGGUUAUAGGACUCAAUUUACUGUAGAUAUAGAUACUUGUCUAACUGUUUCCUCCAGCAUCUUGACAAGGUCCUUUGCUGUUGUCUGGGUUAGAUUUGCACUUUUCACACCAAAUUAAAUGAAUCUCUAGGAGACAGAAUGCGUCUCCUUCCUGAGCGGUAUGAUGGCUGCAUGGUCCCAUGGUGUUUAUACUUGCGUACUAUUGUUUGUACAGAUGAACGUGGUACCUUAAGGCAUUUGGAAAUUGCUCCGAAGAAUGAUCCAGACUUGUGGAGGUCCACAAUAUUUUUCUGAGGUCUUGGCUGAUUUCAUUUGAUUUUCCCUGGAUGUCAAACAAAGGAACUGAUUUUAAAAGGUAGGCCUUAAAAUACAUCCACAAGUACACCUCCUAUCCGAUGCUAAUUGGAUAAUUGUCUAAAGGCUUGACAUAAUUUUCUGGAAUUUUCCAAGCUGCUUAAAGGCACUAUUAACUUUGUGUAUGUAAAUGUCUGACCCUCUGGAAUCGUGAUAUAGUCAAUUAAACGUGAAACAAUCAAUCUGUAACAAUUGUUGGAAAAAUUACUUGUGUCAUUCACAAAAUAAAUUUCCUAAACAACUUGCCAACACUAUAGUUUGCUAAUAUUAAAUCUGUGGAGUAGUUAAAAAAAAUUGCUUUAAUGACUGAAGUGUAUGUAAACUUCUGACUUCAACUUUAUAUGUGCCAAAUACUCUUAGACUUCUUAGUUCAUCUAUAGAGUGUAGA